rnacentral:lncRNA from 1 species
GGGGUCGUAUAGGUGAAACAACUCACUCAAUAUCACAAGCUGUUAUGUGGUGAAGUUUGCAUGAUCAGUACAGGGUUCUGGUCAUCCCACUCAUUGAGUGGUGCUAGUCAAGAUCUGGAAGCUCUUCUGGUCUUAGUUUCUCUAGCCGUGAAGUGACAAUGAUUAGGUCUAAUCAUAGAACAUGAGAGUACAUGUGAAAAAAUGCCUUUUUAAAGAGUAUGAAAAACUUGAGUUGUAAAAUUUUCUUGUGGAUAAUUUAUUAUUGCUUUUCUUUUUUAGAUAACACUAACAAAGUUGACCUUAGAAUUGGAGUGCCUGGGUUAGAACCCUGCUGGUACCACCUGCUUACUGCAUGCUUCUGAUGUGAGUUCAGGAGAAGACACUGGCAAGGACAGCAAAGAACAGGAGAACACUCUAGCUUCCCUGAUAGCAUUCAAGGUGCUGUCCAAAGCUCUUGAGUUUCUGCUUUCAAGUGACCCUCAGAAAUUCCUCCAUUCACUGCAGAGGUUCUGUUUCUCCUUGCUUUGUUCUGACUUUACGGCAGAACUAAGCUAAUGAGUUAGUUACUAUGGGUUAUCACUUGGAUUUGAAGAACCAUCAUUUCUAGGCAUUGCUGCUCAGAGUGGGUCUGCCCUCAGGGGAAGCUGUCUAACCAGAGCCUAACCCACUAGGGUUUUAUCAGAACCUAACUGACCUGAGGAAAAGAAAUACUCAACUCCAGCAAGCUCCAGCCUUCCAAAUGGAGGAGGAGAAAACCCAACUCCAGCCCACUUCAGCUAUCUUGUCCCACAUAAAGGGGAAGUGGAAGAAACCUGAGAAGCAGGCAUGAAGUUCACAGUCCAGAGGUACAGACACAUCAGAGUUCAGUAUCUGAUGAAUUAGAUGCAAAAACCUCAACAAAGUAUUAGCAAAUUGAAUUCAACAAUGUAUGAAAAUUAUUACAUGCCAUGACUAAUUGGAAUUUAUCUCAGGUAUACAAGCCACGCUGAACAUCUGAAAAUCAAUUCAUGUGAUCCAUCACAUUAGCAGACUCAAGAAAAAAAACCACAUUAUCAUAUCAGUAGAUGUAGAAAAAAAAAAUUAACAAAAUCCAGCACCCAUUCACAAUGAAAAUGCCCAGUAAAUUAGAAAUAGAAGGUAACUUCCUCAAAUUGAUAAGGAAUAUCUCUAAAAACCUACAACUAAAAUCAUACUUAAUGGUAGAAAACUAGAAGCCUUCCCAGUAAGAGUAAGAACAAGUCAAAGAUGUAUGCUCUCACCAAUGCUUUUCAACAUCAUAUUGGAAGUCCUAGCUAGUGCAAUAAGCAAAAAAAAAAAAAAAGUUAUAUUAAUAAGAACAAAAACUGUGUUUGUUUGCAGAUGACAUGAUUUUCUAUGCAAAAAA